rnacentral:rRNA from 1 species
CGCCCUCCCGUCCCGCCCGCCACACACGACCUACCGGUACGGGGCGGACGGCGAGGUAGGGGAAGGUUAAGUUAGGUAACGUAAGUAGGGCGGCGAACGCCUCGACUCCACGCCAUGCCGCGUGAGUGAUGAAGGCCGUAGGGUUGUAAGCUCUUUGUUGUCGGGAAGGAGUAAUGGCGGUACCGCAAGAAUAAGCCCGACUAACUUCGUGCCAGCAGCCGCGGUAAUAC